rnacentral:antisense_RNA from 1 species
CACAAUGAACAUUCGGAAUAUAACUAACUAACUAACUUCCUUCCUUCCUUCCUUCCUUCCUCCCUCCCUCCCUCCCUGCCUUCCCUUCCUUCCUGCCUUCCUUCUUCCUUCCUCCCUUUUUUCUUUUCUCCCUUCCUUCCUUCUUAAUAUGUUUUUGGCCUUUUCUUUAUAUAUGUGGCCUAGCAAUAUCCUGUGUUUGGAAAAGUAUAAACCUAAGGCAUCACCUUUACAGAAAAUAUCUUCCACGGAAACAUCUAAAGGCAAAAAUCCUUCAAAUUCAAAUUUAUCCAAUCAUUUCUUCUGCUUACUACCAUCCUAAAUCAUUUUUCUUUAGUAAGAUCUAUUAGUGGGAAGCUAUUAAGCUAUUAAUGUAUCAUAUUAAUUGUAUUCAGAUAUUAAGUUCCCUAAGGCAGCCUUCAAAUGGUGAUGUUUCUUAUAAUCCAGAGUUCAGAAGUGGCUUCUCUUCAAUCUUUCUGUGGAAUUCUAAACCAUGUGAUAAAGGAGCUGGUGGCCACAGAUCAGCCCUGGGGUUCAGAGGGAUCCUGACGGCUACUCCUCAAGAUCCUCUCUGUUGUGAUUCAUCCCCCCCGGGCCCUACAGUUUCUCCUUCCUGACUCUUACAUUUCUUUGGAUGGCAUCAUUAUU